rnacentral:tRNA from 2 species
AGUUAAUGAACUUGUUUAAGUGUUUGCCUUGAAAGCAAAAAAAAGAAGUAAAAUCUUCUAUUAACUU